rnacentral:misc_RNA from 1 species
AACUGAUACUACCUGCGGGAACCUGCGGAAGGAUCAUUAACAAAUCAUUUGCUCUGGAGGCACCGUCCGCGGACCCCCAUUUGCAAUUUACUCGUCUUGGGGAAGGCCGUCAAGGGUGGCUCUUUCCUCUCCGGAGGCUUGGCCACUAAUACCGAUGCGCUGGACCCUCUUGACACAAUACUUACUUUCACAAUUGACAACUACUGGGAACCGAGUAGACAUGCAUAGCAUGUUUGCUUU